CCCCAAGAGUUCGGGCCGCACGCGCGCUACACUGACCGAACCAGCGAGUUUAUUUCCUUGGCCGGAAGGCCUGGGUAAUCUUGUGAAAUUCGGUCGUGAUGGGGAUAGAGCAUUGCAAUUAUUGCUCUUCAACGAGGAAUACCUAGUAAGCGUGAGUCAUCAGCUCGCGUUGAAUUCGUCCCUGCCCUUUGUACACACCGCCCGUCGCUACUACCGAUUGAAUGGCUUAGUGAGGCCUUCGGAUUGGCUUCUGGGAGCCGGCAACGGCACCUAGUCGCUGAGAAGUUUGACGAACUUGGUCAUUUAGAGGAAGUAAAAGUCGUAACAAGGUUUCCGUAGGUGAACCUGCGGAAGGAUCAUUAAUGAAUUUUAGGACGUUCUUUUUAGAAGUCCGACCCUUUCAUUUUCUUACACCGUGCACACACUUCUUUUUUACACACACUUUUAACACCUUAGUAUAAGAAUGUACUAGUCUCUUAAUUGAGCAUAAAUAAAAACAAAACUUUCAGCAACGGAUCUCUUGGCUCUCGCAUCGAUGAAGAACGCAGCGAAUUGCGAUAAGUAAUGUGAAUUGCAGAAUUCAGUGAAUCAUCGAAUCUUUGAACGCACCUUGCACUCUUUGGUAUUCCGAAGAGUAUGUCUGUUUGAGUGUCAUGAAACUCUCAACCCCCCUAUUUUGUAAUGAGAUGGGCGUGGGCUUGGAUUAUGGUUGUCUGUUGGCGUAAUUGCCGGCUCAACUGAAAUACACGAGCAACCCUACUGAAAUAAACGGUUUGGCUUGGCGUAAUAAUUAUUUCGCUAAGGACGUUUUCUUCAAUUAUAAGAGGGGCUUCUAAUUCGCUUCUAAUAGCAUUUAAGCUUUAGACCUCAAAUCAGUCCGGGACUACCCGCUGAACUUAAGCAUAUCAAUAAGCCGGAGGAAAAGAAACUAACAGGGAUUCCCCUAGUAACGGCCAAUGGAAAUGGGGAAAAACUCAACUUUGAAAAUCUGGG
rnacentral:rRNA from 1 species